rnacentral:lncRNA from 1 species
GAAUAUUAACUUUUGCUGAUUUGUGUAUCAGGGAAUAAGAUCACAUGAUGUCAUGUUCGGAGAGAUUACUAUAGAUGAUAUUGGAAUCAUUGUAUCAAGGUGGAGAAUGUAGAGAAAAUGGCACAAUGAUGGGCUGCUCGAAGUAAUUAGCUGCUGGAAUAAACCUGCUAAUUGGGCCAGAUCUUGUAAUUAAUUUGGAGAGUUG